rnacentral:misc_RNA from 1 species
UACCGAUACAUUGGCGAUUUAAAAAGUUAUUUUUUAAAAUAAGAAGAGUCAACCCGCUCGGUCGUUCCCACUGCGCAACGCGACGCGACGCAGCCAGUGUGCGUUGAGGCAGUCGCUAGGGCGGACACCGGCACUCCGACAUUCACUAUAAAUCGAGUCGCUGGGUGGCGGAGUGUACGGGUCGGUGGGCGCGUCGGGUGCGGAGGGAGGGGAGCGGCGCGAGGGAGGCAAGCGCGGGCGCAGGCCCGGCCGCAAGGCGCAGAUCGACAAACAGGACAUGAAGGCUAAGCUGGCAGAGCGCAGCAGACAGUCGGCGCGGGAAUGUCGGGCGCGCAAGAAGCUGCGGUACCAAUACCUGGAAGAGCUCGUAGCUGAUCGGGAAAGGUCUGUCCUGGCGCUCAGAAAGGAACUGGAUAAGUAUUACAAGUGGAAUUUGGAGCUAGACCAGGGCAGGAUGCCGGAAGGUCUGGAAGCCGUACUCCAAGAGAUGGGGAUCGUCAAGCAGGAGGAGAGUAAAUCCUUUCUAUCAUAGCUCUUUUAUAUAAAUACCACGUAACGUAACUCUAAGGGAUGAAGAAACGAAGAUUCACAUUGUUCUGGUGUUCACCGUACGUUUCAGUUUAGUAAUUCUUCAAUAUUAUCAAGAUGAAAGCAAAAAUUGGAUUCAAAACUUCAAUAAUUGUGGAAAAAUUAUACGGUCAAAAACUAUAUGAAUAAGUCCGUUACAACGUUGAUACAUCCAUUAAAACUCGAAAAGAAAAAAAUAUUAUCAAAACCAAUCUCAUCAAAAUUUGAAAACUAUGCCAGAUUUAAAAUCAGAAAAAAACAUCAAGCAAUCAAGAUAGGCAUAACGAGGACAAGACGCAAUACUUCGACAAUGGCGUUAGACCUAGUCUUAUGGGUUUACUUGAGCUUUUAAUACCAUCGCAUCCAUCUCAUAACUGUCUGAAGCGGUACACAGAAUGCCUAAAAAUUGAGCACUUAUUCUUCUCAAUACAUUAAAAGUCAAACCAGUUCGAAUACUAAUUUUAUCCCUUCUUUGUACCGCUCGACUUCAGGACUUAAUCCAAAGAGAUUAAAGCUCAAUUUUGCUUGUUUAGACUCUGUUCUGCACCUGGUUUUUGCUACUACAACCCGCUGCACUGCCUAUCUUGUCCACAUUUUGCUUCGUCUACGCAGAGCUAGAAUUUUCAAUAUUAUAUCUGUAUGAAAUGUAAAAUGACCUAACCUAUCUAAUAAUCACGUUGAAUAUAUAAACAGUAAAUAAAAGUUUUUUACAAGCAAUCAAAGGAUCAGCGUCAUGGGGAUAAAAUGCAGAGUUUUUCUUUUAGUCUUUGCUGUCUGCAGAGCUAAGCUUAGCCAUAUAUAACUGGUUGAACGGAACAAUUGGGGCCUUGUUUGUUUUUCAAAUUACAGUACUCUAUCACCAGAACGUUUCAACUUUUCUACCGUUUUCUCAUAUCAUAAACAGAAAUUCAGCCAUGGGGUUAAAAUGCAGAGUUUUCUAAAAAGAUCAUGGAGCUUUCUGCAGAGUUUAACUGAACUAAGCAAACUUAAUUAUACUACUGAUUGAACGGUAUAUGAAAAUCUUGAGCUGUUUCACAUAUAAGUACUUACAAAAUACCUGUACGCCACGCUAUCAAAUUUUCUUUGUACCGAUCAAUCAUCAGGACUUUUGAAAGAUGGACAGUCAGUCAGGCAGACGUGGCUGAUGUCUAUGAUAUGUAAGAAAACAAUUACUGUAGUACAUCUUCGGGAUUGUAACUAGCGUCAAAGGGGGAAAAAUGCAGUUUUCUACCAAGUUCUGGGAAAUUGCUGCAGAGUUAAGCUGAGCUAGACAGUGUUAUUUACUUAAAUAACUGUUUAAAUAGUACAGGAAGAGUUGUGAACAUGUUUCUAAAUAAAGUACAAUGUUACCAGUACGCUACUGUUUAAACUUUUCUUUUUACCUUUUAAUACAAGGGCUAAUAUUCAUAAUCUCUUUAGCUCAACUUGGCUCAGUUUGAUUACCUUCCCCUUUUUCAGUUUGGGUGUAGGUCAGUGCCCCAGCCUAGUCUCUCUUAAAUAUUUUUUUUCUCCAUGUCACUCAUCUUUUUUGCAUACAUUUUGUCUUUUUACGUCCAUACAUUUUUACUGGAAUUGAAAAUAUAUUAGAUGGCAUAUUUAGUGUUUGGAAUGCUUAUAAAAGUUUGUGUUUACUUGAUGGUGAACAUGAUGAUAGUGUGAAUCGAAAGAAAUUGGCUAAUUAAGUAUUUUGUUAAAUUAGUUACGUUGGUUUCAAAAACACAAUUUGAUUUGUUGUUCGGCCAAAAUAGUUUAACGAUUAUAUUUUAUUCGUUUGCAAAAUUUCCAAAGUUUGAACGGUUAUGUUUUUGGUUAUUUUAGAUUUUAUAAUAUUUUCUUAUAGUUAUAAACACUGCGUCAUAGUUCGAAAUCGAAUUUAUAAGGCAUAAAAUGUCGAUUUAGUUUUUAUUAUGUCGUGAUUAUUUUGGUAAGAGCUAAGGAAAGGUGUGUUUGCGUAACUUUGAAUAUAAUUAUUUUUCUAUAGAUAUUUUUAGGCGACUAUUUUUAUAUGGCUGUUUCCUAAAUAUUAACAUUAAGGGGAGGUCCUUUUAAGAAGUGUAUAUAUUAAUCCUUUGCAAUGUUGGAAUUGUUUAAAAGUUGUUAUAUAAAGCGUGUUUGAUUUAUUUUUUUUGGUGAUCUUGGUUUUAGGAUGUACAAUUCUUUUUAAUAGUUUUUAGGUGUUGAAAGUUUGAACAAUUAUUUUUAAUUUAAGUUUUAUUGUCUUGCGUUUAUAAUAAAAAAAAAACGAAUACAGUCAACAACUUUCAUAGUAAGCGAAGAAAACCAGGACAUCUCUUGAUCUAAGAAAAAUAUAAUAUUAUUUUUUAACUUUAACUGAAUGCAUGAAACGUUUAUUUUCCAAACAUUUUAAUUUAAAGUACGAUUGUGAUUAGGCUAGAAGCCUUAGUUAAUAAGAUAGGCUUAUAAUACGCGUUACGAAUAUAGUGUAAGGUCAAAUAAAUUGAGAGGAACUCGAACACAGGAUAUACCUAUAGAUGGGUUUUAAUUGAUAAGAUAUUUUAGAAUUAAUAGGUUUAUAAUUAAGAUAUUUUGUUUGGAGUUAACGUAAUUUUUAUUUUUACCUUUUAUGAAUCCACGAUCGAUUACAAUAAUUACGUAGAAUAAAUCAAAAUAAUGCCUGAAGAAGGUUUUAGCAAUAAGGAAUAUAUUAAGGUCUUAAUUUUAACUCAACAUUUUUCGUUUAUUAUUGAGGAACUCGCAGACAGGAUAUAAAUAAAAUAUUCUUUUAAAUAUUAAGAUAAUUAAUCAGGUUAAAAAAAACAUACCGAUCGUACAGACGUAAUUAAAUUUUUGUGUCCUAAAAUCAGAUUAGAAUUAGGAGUUAAAAUAAUAAAUUAGUACCUAACUAGAGUCGUGAGUGGGAAUGUUGUGUGAAAUAAAGUGAGUGAGUGAGAAGGAGAAAGAAAGAGAGUAUGUGUGCGUUUGCAAAAUUUAAGAUUAAAAUUCUAAAUGUGAGUUUGCACUAAAUAGGCUUGAACAUACAUUGUAACUGUUCAAUCAGGGUUGAAGGUGGUGAAAUCACGCUCCUAUUUCCAAAAGGUUCAAUAUUUCGAAUUGAUUCACCUACAUUGCUAUUAACAGUACUUGGAGCAUUCCAAUUCUACCCGACUUUUGAUUCGAACAUAGGACCACUUUUUAAACAGUCAAGUAUGUAAUUACCUACAAACACAAACACAGCAGGAACGUUUUUUACCACCAUGAAAGAAUUUAGAAUAAGAAAAACAUGUAAGAACCUGAUAAUUAAUAAUGUUUGUCUAAAUUGAACGAAAAAUGUUGCUAAAUCAAAAAACAGCAACUUAAUUACUCAAGAACGGAUGAGCCCGUUUUGAUGAAAGUGUAAGUAUCUAAGUCAUUAAAUACCUUUGGCUAACAAGUUUUCAACUAAAAAAAAACCGCAUCCAAAUCAAUUCAUCCGUUUAAGAGCUAUUCGGUAUCACAGAUAGACUCACGUAACGGUGGAACCCAUGUGUCAAAUUAAUAACACCCCACUUUUUCGUCGAUGGUUAAAAAUAAUGAUAUAGCGUUUUUCUGUUUGCAAAAAAUCAGACAUACAUUCUUUUUGAAAAUCUUAGACACACACACAAAAUAAAAUACUUUCUACAUACCAGUUUCAAGACAUGUUGAGGUUUUUUGGUGCAAACUCACAUCAACAGAGUAUGAUAAGUACCUAAAUUCGAAAAAGUAAUUUUGGCUGUGUGUAUGAAAUAUAUUCUAAAGCUUGUUUCAACAAAGAGUAAAAUAAAAGGUUGUGCGUACUUUUAUAGAAACAAUAGUUGUUUUAAAAAUAUAUUUUAUUUAAAAUUAACCGUUCUAUAUAAUAUUUUCAUACUUUAAUAUAAAUAAGUAAAAAUCUGGUUUUCAUUACCUACGUGUUUUUGAUAGUUUUGUGUUAUGCCAACCUUUUUAUGCAAUUUUCUCAUCGAUUAUCCAUGCUUUUUCAUCUGCAAAGGUCAGUUUAUCAUUAUAAAUUACGACUAUGGUAAAUAUAUCUAUAAAAGUACGCACACUAACAAAAUAUGAUUAGCACAUAGAGCCUUAUAAUUUUAUGGUCACUUUUACCUAGUAAAUAGUUUGUUUAAUAAUUUUAUUUAAGCAUUAUGGUUAAAGUCGUAAACGGCUACUCGUCAAGUGAGUGAUAAAAUCAUAGAGUUUUUACUUUACGCGCCAAAACAAGAUGGCGUCUUAUUAUUACCCAGUCUUUACACUUUUAAGUGGCUUCCGUGAAAAUUACGUAACUUACGUAAAUUGUUCUAAGAAACUACUGUUAGCGACUAACGCAAGGGUGUUAUAAUUUUAAAUUUAUCGUAAGUUACGUGAGAAAAACUUACUAGUGUAUAGCCGGCCUUAUGUAUGCUGAGAGUUGUACAUAAAUAACAGAUUUAAUACGUAGAUGCUGUACAAUUUAGGUUGAGUUCGCAUUUUUAUAUAAUUAUAAUUUUACAGUUAAAAUUAUACAUUUUAUUCGAUUAUUCGGAGUCCACGCACAGCUUAGAGCUCAAUAAAUAAAAUAUGUACAUUUGAAUAAUUAAGUAAAAUUAAGAUUAUAAUAUAAAAAAUAGGAAUCUGGUUAAAAAAAGCCGUAACUCAAAUCACUGAAAUAACACAUUGAAAUCUAAAUUUUAGUUUAUUACAUAUUUUAUUUUUAGUGGGUAUAUAAUACCAUUUAAAAUAUUAUAUUUAGGUUUUGUUUAUUUUUACGAAAUCACACUCUUUACCGGUCAAUUAUUAGUUUUAAUUUGAUUUAGUUUUCGAUAAAUAUAAUUUGAAGUGGCUGAAUAGUCUUAUCCUAGUACGCUUUUAUUUUAUAAUCUAUGUAUUAAAUCAGGAAUGGGCUCGACUUAUAUAAAUUAUUGUUGAAAUGUAAUCUACAGCUUUUUAUGCCACAAAAAAGUACCGAGCAUAGUGUGCACUAGAUUUAGAACAAUAACUUUGUUCUACACCAUGGUUUAUACCUAAGUACUAAAGCCGGUACUUUCUAGGACCACGUUUUGCAAUAAUGUGGAUUCAGUUUUAUCUCCCAAGUUGAUGUCUAGUCUACACUGCUUGCAAUAAAGUGGGGCUACUAACAUUUACCUCUAUAUGAAAAACAAAACAUGGAACUAUUUUUAGACCCAAACAACAUAAAAAUAUAGAAUCACCGAGAUAACUAUAAUAACUUCAAACUGAAAUAAAACUUAACUGAAGUAAAUAAUAGUCGGUACUUAAUAAAAUUGCACUUUUUUUCAACAAGUUACAUGCCUAUUUUCUUAUACAGAGAUACCGAAAGUCAAAAGUUUUGGUGUCUUGACAUAGAGUAUUUAAUUUGAUGCAUUCUAUUUCUCACAUUUUAUUUUUGUAUAAAAAUAGGGAUCUGAGCUCAUUCCUGAUGAACUGGUGAAUAAUUUAGUUUACUACUUUAAUAUGUCGGCAAUCCGCCUUAGGUUUAUAUAUUAUCUUAGUUUUCAUAACACAUACAAAUUACUUCCAUUGGUCAUCUGCGAACAAUUUAAUUCGUUUCUUAGUUUUAUGCAUCCUAAGUAAGAUUCUAUUAAGAUAAUAUCUAUAAGUUCUCAUACAACUAUUAAAAAACGCAACAGAUUCUAAAAUAAUUUUUAAAUAUCAUAACGAUGAAAUAUUUUAAGUUAGGUAAAACCGUUUUUUAUUUAGGGAUGUGCAAAAACAUUUUUAUUUUAUUUUACAUAUAUCAAGAUUCAUUCUGUAGUUACUUUUAAUCAAAACAUUUCUGUCCAACAAAACGUUGCACUGUGGUUCAAACAGAGUGAUUUGCAAAAUCGAAAUGAAAAAAAAAAAUACUUCAUACAACCAAAAGGAAAUCCACCUCAAUUAGGUUAUAAGAAUUCUCAUACACGAUAUACAAAAUACAGUCAAGAAAUUCCGAAAUAAAAUGAAAAUCCGAUAGUACAGUUUCGACAAAAUAAAUUCUAAAAAAGUUUCAAAAUUACCAAAACAGCGAUAAUUGCGCGAUGAACAUAUACAUUAUAUAUUAUGUUAUAUUAUGUUUCUUCAAAUAACAAUUUGUUUAUCAAAGUAUUUAUUGUAACUGGUGCAGAACCGUUUAACAAUAUAUGCCAUUCAAAACAUUCAAAAUCAUCAUCAUAUUAUUAUUUUAUUUUUGUCAAAAUUUUAGUUUAUGUAUUCAUCAUCAUCAUCAAAUUAUUAUCAAGUGUAUAAAUCUUUAUUUAUAAAAAAAAAAACAUUAUAUUAUUACUCGAUUUAUAAUUAAAAUAUGUUUUGAUUCGUUUUAAGUAUUGUGUUUUAUUUUAUUUUUCCACAUGUUUAUAAUAAUAUGUUGUGCAAUAACAGGCGGUAGAUUAUUUGUUAUAUAAACUAUUUAGGUCCUUACUAAUAAAUCACUAUUUUACAGAAACCCGGAGAUAAAUUAAAAUGAUUUUUUCCAUCCAAAGAAUAGGGUUAAAUAUUGUUUAACGGAGAACUUCUUAAUGUAGCUAAUACUAUCUUUGAAUUUGGACUCAUUUCAAACAACACAACAUGAAAACUGAUAUUUUCACGGUUGUAUGAAGAAUAUCGUGUAUGGGACUUAAUGAUAAGAAUUAUCAUAAGCUAGCAUAAGUACAUACUAUAAGUUUCAUUAUACAAAGUGUGUCAAACCCAAUCAGAUGACAAUACUGAAUUAUAUACCUACGUCGAUUAACACAAAGAAAAACUUAAAGGAAAUUCUUUUUCGAACAAAGUAAAUCAAAUAAUAAUACCUAUGCGCUAAACCAAUUUUAACGAGUCAAUCAUUCACACAACGGUAUUUUCCUUUGAACACUGUCAGCUGCGCAGAUCAUUCGGUACCUAUUAUACUUUUUCUCUGCUUUACACAUGAUAUUAGUAAUAAAUUAUGAAAACAAAAAAAAAUCUUCUGGCCACCGCUGAACGGAGUAAGUCAAAAUUUUUACAAUACUGUAGUUUCCAAGGAGUCAAAUUCAUUACUUUUACUGAACUGUCAAAAACGGUUACUUUCAAUGCAAUUUGUAUAAAAAAGUGUAUUAUGCGGUCACAGAUUUUUCACAUCAAACUCGUACUUAUUAAGAUUAUACCUAAUAUCAAUAUAAAAAUAAAUCAAUUAUUCUAUCAAACCGAUAAAUGAAAGUAAUAUUAACAAAUGAAUUUGACCAUGUAAUUUAUUUUUGACCUAGUUAACUACCUACCCAAUUCAAUUUCAUAGAAUUCAAUGUAAUAGAAUAUCAUCAAUACUAAUAUUAUAAAGUUGAAGAGUUUGUUUGUUUGAACGCGCUAAUCUCAGGAACUAUUGGUUUGAUUUGAAAAAUUCUUUCAGUUUUAGAUAGCCCAUUUAUCGAGGAAGGCUAUGGAAUAAGCUAUAACUUUUUAUCCGUGCAGAGGUUCCCACAGGAAACUGCUGGCAGAAGUUAGUAAAGUAUACUUUAUGUGAUUAGGUUUGACACACCCGAUAUACGGCUGCAUUAUAACCAGGUAGAUCUCAUCAACUUCAAAACCAACCGCUAAUAUUAUCUUACCUAUAAAAUAACUAACUUAAUUAGAAUUAUCGAAGUAUACCUGUAUUUAAUAAAAACUAAGGAGUUUGGGAAUAAUGAAAUAAAUGGGAACGUUUAGAGUAAUUGGCGUUAAACACAAGCAAUACUGUAUAUAAAAAUGCUAAGAUGUAACCGCCAAAUUACAAUAGAUAGAUGUAAUAAAUAAAUAGCAUAUACGACAUAGGCGUAAGUCAUUAGGUACAUAGGUGUUUGUCGUGUUAAUUAAUAAAAUUCCAUUAAAUUCAUGGAAAUGUUUACCAUUUUCAAUUAUCUUGUUAGAGCUACAAAACCGGCAAUUAAUAUUGCGAUUUAGCAUUACCAGCUGUGAAAAUUUUACAUAAGCAAACAAAAUAAACGCUAUAUCUGAAAAUAAGUGAAAAUCAAACAAAAAAUAUCUAAUAUUAAUGAAAACUAUAUAUUUUCAUUAAGUAGGUCAGCACCUUAGACUAUUGUAUUAAAGCUACAAGCAAUAUUUGCAAGCAAUCUAAUUUCUUAUUAAAUAAAUUAUAGAUGAUGUUUCAUUUAAUUAAAAAAUGAUUAAGUAAUACUUCUUAUGAAAAACAAUCAAUACUAAACUUAAUCUUCAUCAUCAUAAGCAAUUAAUAGCAGGGAUCAAAUCAUCAAAAAAAUGUAAAGCAAAUCAAUAUUACUUAUAUAUUUAAUUAAAACAAUAGGAACUUUGGGCCUUUGUCGCUUACAUCAAUAGUGACUGAAUUAUGAACCAAAUUAAUAACUGAUCAAUAUUUAACAUAAGUAUAUAAGAUCUACUGCUGUUUAACUAAAUAAGUCCUUGUAGAUUGAGGCAUUAGUUUCUACCACUCCAGAUUGACUACCAUAUCUGUGCUGUGGUUUCUACUAAUAAUAUAAAUCAUUUACUAAGAAAACAAUUUUUUUUUCUUAAAAAUCGACUUCAAUAAUAUACUUAAAACUUUCCCCUAAGUGUGACAAAUACUAUGCUGAAAAUCUCAUUAAAAUCGACUCACCCAAACGUGAGAUAAUCGCGCACAGACUUACCUACUUUGAGGUCAAACUGAGAACCUCCAUUUGAAGUCGGUUAAACGUGUGUUAUUGUGUUGAAUUUUGUAGCUCCAACUCAACAUUGAAAAACCAUUGAUCUCACCUUCGAUUCGUAUGAAAUUCAUGACUUUUUCAUAAUCAUACUGACAAUUAAUUUCUUCAUUAAAAAUCAUGACAUUGCAAACUUCAAAUCAGUUUAAAAAUAGAUUAAGUCUGUAAAUAUAAUAAGCGCGUUGAAACGACAAAAUUGGGAUGAAAGAAACUACAUAGUGUAAUAUUUAAGUCCUUAUAUCUAUGGUUAGUUUUAGAGAAUAGUCUACCAAAUUACAUUUAUUUAGAUUUAUAAGAAAACUGUUCCAUCGUUGCCUAUAUGUUAGGAUUAUGUUAGUUUAAGUCAGACUUUCGUAUAUAUUUCAUAAGUAUCUAUAUUUUUAAUUGGGCCACAUAAAGGACGAUAGAAGUAAAGACAUGUGUCAAGAUGUUACUUAAUAGAAAUGAAAGGUGCUAAAUUUCGGAUAUAUAUAAUAUCCUUUACAAACACAAAAUUGCAAUUAUUAUCUGAAUAAUAACCAGGUUUCAUUUCAAAAUUAUGUAACUAACCACGCCAAAUAAAAUAAAAAUUUGAAUGGCUGAAAUGAUUUUUAAAAUUAAAAAUUCCUUUCCUUUUAUGCCAUUCAUUCUAAACAGCUCGUGAACACUCAAGGCAAAAUCCUAACUAGUACAUGUUUGCCACGAUAUAGCCAAGUGACUGAACAUUUAAAGCCAUUAUCAUAUACCUACGUACGUCAUGAGAACUAAUGAAAUCAAAUUAAAUAGCAUUUAUUCAAAGUAACCAAAAUUAUAUAGAUAAACCCAAACCGCCCAUCGUUCACCGUAUCCUAUGUCUUGUUACUGGGAAGAAUAAGUGAUAACCUCUCUUUCCAAACCUUAAUUAGUUCCUUAAGUUUGCAUAGAGUACAUAAGGCACUCGUUUUUAGGUUGACCGUUUCCUAAAGGGCAAAUAAAACAUAUUUCCUGCGGACAACAUAGCGUUGCGAUCUUUUGACACGCAAAGGUAUUGAAAAAUAGCCACGACCAAUUCGAGAACGUCAAAUUUUUUAAGUCCCUUUAAAAACCGUAUGUCCUUUUUGUAGCCCAAAUAUAAAAAUAAGUUCCAUUUUAUUAUUGAAAUCUAGUUUUAAAUUCAUUCGUGUAAAUUACAGUGGGAGUUGUCGUCAAUUUGUUCCAAUGCGCAGUAUAUUUUUUAAGUUUAAUUUACCUAAAUCAGCAUAACUUAGGUUAGUUCGGAUUAAUAACGUAAGAGGACGGCUAAAAAUGUUCUACUAGUUUGUAAGUUUGUGUGUUAGUGAUAAAACAGUCAACAGCAUA